AUCGCCAUUUGGUUAUAUCAGUAUUCGGAUCUGAUCUAAUUACAUAUAUGUUAAUGUAUUAUGCCUGCUAGCUUAGACCACUGUCAUAGAUUAAUUUCUGAUUGAAACUAUGUCAAAUUUUUGUGUCCAGUUUGAUCACAAUGGAUCCUAUGCAAAAUAAUGAAGGUCGUUCACUUGUAGUAUUUUUGGAUAUUAAGUAAAUAUCUAUCAAAUUAUUUUUCAAACAGGUGACAAGACAAUAUCAAAUUCACAAGCGCAAGUUGAUGAACGUGUGCAACGUAAAAGGGAAAGAGAAAAAGCACGACAUGCGUCAAUGACUCAAACAGAAAGAGAUGAAAAAAAUAAAAAAAUUAGGGAAAAGUAUCAUCAAAAAAAGACAGAAACUGAAAUAUCUGCUGGCUCAAUAGGUCCACCAUAAACAAUUUUUAACAACCAAACAUAGAAUAAAUAUUUGUUCUCAUAUAGUUACUUUAUCUUUAAUUAUUAUGUAAAUAGGUGUUGGGGUUGAAUCUAACAAGGAAAACACAGAUGCCAUGAGUCUAAAAAGGGAAAGGGUAAAGGCGUGAUUUAUGGCGAUGACUCAGGAAGAAAGAAAUGAAAAAAAUAGAAAGCGUCGUGAAUGAUAUCAUCAGAAAAAAAUAG
rnacentral:lncRNA from 1 species